GAUGAACGCUGGCGGCGUGCCUAAUACAUGCAAGUCGAGCGAACAGAUGAGGAGCUUGCUCCUCUGACGUUAGCGGCGGACGGGUGAGUAGCACGUGGAUAACCUACCUAUAAGACUGGGAUAACUUCGGGAAACCGGAGCUAAUACCGGAUAAUAUAUUGAACCGCAUGGUUCAAUAGUGAAAGACGGUUUUGCUGUCACUUAUAGAUGGAUCCGCGCCGCAUUAGCUAGUUGGUAAGGUAACGGCUUACCAAGGCAACGAUGCGUAGCCGACCUGAGAGGGGGAUCGGCCACACUGGAACUGAGACACGGUCCAGACUCCUACGGGAGGCAGCAGUAGGGAAUCUUCCGCAAUGGGCGAAAGCCUGACGGAGCAACGCCGCGUGAGUGAUGAAGGUCUUCGGAUCGUAAAACUCUGUUAUUAGGGAAGAACAAAUGUGUAAGUAACUAUGCACGUCUUGACGGUACCUAAUCAGAAAGCCACGGCUAACUACGUG
rnacentral:rRNA from 1 species